ACACUAGUGGUCUAGAGGUAGAAUAGUACCCUGCCACAGUACAGACUCGGGUUAGAUUCCCGGCUAGUGCA
rnacentral:tRNA from 1 species